rnacentral:rRNA from 1 species
UACGGAGGGUGCGAGCGUUAUCCGGAAUUACUGGGUUUAAAGGGUGCGUAGGCGGCUAAGUAAGUCAGGGGUGAAAGUUUGCGGCUCAACCGUAAAAUUGCUUUUGAUACUGCAUAGCUAGAAUUAGGAUGAGGUCAGCGGAAUGUGGCAUGUAGCGGUGAAAUGCAUAGAUAUGCCAUAGAACACCAAUUGCGAAGGCAGCUGGCUAGACCUGGAUUGACGCUGAGGCACGAAAGCGUGGGGAGCGAACAGG